UCCGUAGGUGGCAAGCGUUGUCCGGAUUUACUGGGCGUAAAGCGUAUGUGGGCGGCUGCUUAAGUCGGAAGUGAAAGGUUCGAGCUCAACUCGGACACUGCUCCCUAUACUGGGCGUCUUGAGGGUCGGAGAGGAAAGCGGAACGACACGUGUAGCGGUGAAAUGCGUUGAUAUGUGUCGGAACACCAAUGGCGAAGGCAGCUUUCUGGACGAUUUCUGACGCUGAGAUACGAAAGCCGAGGUAGCGAACAGG
rnacentral:rRNA from 1 species